UACAGAGGGGGCUAGCGUUGUUCGGAAUUACUGGGCGUAAAGGGCGCGUAGGUGGCCUGUUAAGUCGACCGUGAAAUCCCCGGGCUCAACCCGGGAACUGCGUCCGAGACUGGCAGGCUCGAAUCCGGGAGAGGGAUGUGGAAUUCCAGGUGUAGCGGUGAAAUGCGUAGAUAUCUGGAGGAACACCGGUGGCGAAGGCGGCAUCCUGGACCGGUAUUGACGCUGAGGCGCGAAAGCCAGGGGAGCAAACGGG
rnacentral:rRNA from 1 species